AGAGUUUGAUCCUGGCUCAGGAUGAACGCUGGCGGCGUGCUUAACACAUGCAAGUCGAACGAAGCACUUUAUUUGAUUUCCUUCGGGACUGAUUAUUUUGUGACUGAGUGGCGGACGGGUGAGUAACGCGUGGGUAACCUGCCUUGUACAGGGGGAUAACAGUUGGAAACGGCUGCUAAUACCGCAUAAGCGCACAGCAUCGCAUGAUGCAGUGUGAAAAGCUCCGGUGGUAUAAGAUGGACCCGCGUUGGAUUAGCUAGUUGGUGAGGUAACGGCCCACCAAGGCGACGAUCCAUAGCCGACCUGAGAGGGUGACCGGCCACAUUGGGACUGAGACACGGCCCAAACUCCUACGGGAGGCAGCAGUGGGGAAUAUUGCACAAUGGGCGAAAGCCUGAUGCAGCGACGCCGCGUGAGCGAAGAAGUAUUUCGGUAUGUAAAGCUCUAUCAGCAGGGAAGAUAAUGACGGUACCUGACUAAGAAGCACCGGCUAAAUACGUGCCAGCAGCCGCGGUAAUACGUAUGGUGCAAGCGUUAUCCGGAUUUACUGGGUGUAAAGGGAGCGCAGGCGGUGCGGCAAGUCUGAUGUGAAAGCCCGGGGCUCAACCCCGGUACUGCAUUGGAAACUGUCGUACUAGAGUGUCGGAGGGGUAAGCGGAAUUCCUAGUGUAGCGGUGAAAUGCGUAGAUAUUAGGAACACCAGUGGGAAGCGGCUUACUGGCGAUAACUGACGCUGAGGCUCGAAAGCGUGGGGAGCAAACAGGAUUAGAUACCCUGGAGUCCACGCCGUAAACGAUGAACUGUUAGCAUUGCUUCCGGGUCGCAACGCAGUAUAUUCCACCUGGGGAGUACGUUCGCAAGAAUGAAACUCAAAGGAAUUGACGGGGACCCGCACAAGCGGUGGAGCAUGUGGUUUAAUUCGACGCAACGCGAAGAACCUUACCAAGUCUUGACAUCCUUCUGACCGGUACUUAACCGUACUUUCUCUUCGGAGCAGGAGUGACAGGUGGUGCAUGGUUGUCGUCAGCUCGUGUCGUGAGAUGUUGGGUUAAGUCCCGCAACGAGCGCAACCCUUAUCUUUAGUAGCCAGCGGUUUGGCCGGGCACUCUAGAGAGACUGCCAGGGAUAACCUGGAGGAAGGCGGGGAUGACGUCAAAUCAUCAUGCCCCUUAUGACUUGGGCUACACACGUGCUACAAUGGCGUAAACAAAGGGAAGCAAAGCUGUGAGGCCGAGCAAAUCUCAAAAAUAACGUCUCAGUUCGGACUGUAGUCUGCAACCCGACUACACGAAGCUGGAAUCGCUAGUAAUCGCAGAUCAGAAUGCUGCGGUGAGUACGUUCCCGGGUCUUGCACACACCGCCCGUC
rnacentral:rRNA from 1 species